GGCAAUGGAAACCCAGUGUGUUGCAGCUUUUGCCCUCCAGGUGUUCUGGGAAUUUUAGGAAAGUGAUGAGGGCGAGUCCUGCCUAAUACUGUACACAAGCUUCUGCCACUCUAGUUAAAGUCAACACCAGUGUUCAGAAAACACCAGCUCAAUAGAGCUGUACUAAAGAAAUUCAUUGUUAAGAGCUGGUGUUAGAUAUUCAGAUAGGAACACAGCCAUCAAACCUCACACCAGGAUUUAAGAACAGGUCAUUUAAAGAAAGCAUAAGAAAUCUAACCCCCAGUUUCAUUCAUACAUUCUGAAUGCCUGUCAUUUUUUUAAAAAGUCCUCCGCCCCAUAGUUAUUUAAACUAUGUACAUAUAGAUGUUAUGCAGCAGGAAAUAUGCAGGCAUGGUAUUAGUGCUGGAGAGAUAAUUUAUUUUGAUUCAUAUUUAAGAAACUAUGAAAUACAAGAGGAAUGUCCCUUAAAGAUUCUAUGGCUGUAAGAACUACAGGCAAACUUUGUUAUCUAAUCACUACAUUAAAAUGAUCAACAGAGGUAGACUACUGUAUUUUUAAAACUGCAUGCAAAUAUUUUUAGAAUAUACUAAAUAAAGUGCAUGAAAAAUACUACAGCCAUCAAUACAAACCCUCCCCAGAAAUAUUCACCACAAACAGAAUUCUUAAAAUUGUUCUUUAUUCAUAAACUUGAUGCAAGUUUACAGAUUAUCGUACACUGCUAAAUAAUUCUGCAAUGAAAAAUGAAACUCAAAAAAAAAAAGCAAGCCAAGUGUGCACCUGUCAUUCUGCUAGUCCAUUAGGAUAAGAAUUCAAUAAGGUAUUUGGAGUUUUAGCCUCAGGAUUUAAAGAAGCUAUAUAAAAGUUUACAGAAUGUGUCCUCUGACUUAAGGCUGCUAACUGGAUUUUAUAGUAAUAAUAUGUACAACCAAAUAAGCAAGGAGAGUGGAAAUCAUCCACAUUUCACUCCCUGAAAGACUGCAUGAGUCUUCAGCGAGGCAAAAUCUUUCUAUUCUCCUCUUUCAAGUUCAAAAGCAGCACAAGUAACCAAACGCUUGAAGCUACAUGCUUGGGUGUCAAAAGAAAACAUUAUUCUUAUUUUUAUUGGCACAAACUGGCUCUGCUUAAGCAGCGUGACAACUGGAGAGCAUUUCAUAUGUCCAGAAACAGUUCAUAUUCUCAACCACAGCUGUCAGGAUUUGGGGAGGGGGGGCGGAGAGGAGGUGAAUGAUUUAACAUUACAGUUCUCCUACAUAUCAUCAUUCAAAUUGGCAAUACUAAAAACACUUACAAUUUUAGGUUGAGGCAAAAAACAAUAUCCCAGAUUUAAAAAGACCCUGAAAACUUGGCAACAUAUUAUUAUAAACUAACUUUAUUCAACAUGGUUGGCUUUAAAUAAAAUAUAUUGCAGUCCUUUGCA
rnacentral:lncRNA from 1 species